CCAGAAGGCACGCCUCUGAACUCUGCUAAACCGCGCUGGGCGCUGCGAGCCCCGGGCGGGGGAGGGGGCGACCUCCGUGCUAGCUCCUCGCCCUGGGCACGUCAACCUGGGGGCGGAAGACGCAGGAAGGGCGCAGUGACCAGCGCUUUGUACGUCUGGGACUGCCGAGGGGAGAGGUCCCUAAGAAAAAGCUGAGCCUCUCUUCCAUCGCAAAGGAGGGAGGGGCUCAAUGACACAGGGGAAGGAAAUGUUUCAUAACGCAUCCACGCGGGGACAAUGAUUGCCUCCUUGAACAACGCCCCAAAUGUUGCUUCGCGCUCUUCUCGGAAAGCUCAAAUGAGGAAGCAUGGCGCAGAGAAGCCCAAGCACUUCACGCUGGAGAGAGUUUAGCACCAGCCUCUGGUCCUCACACGUUUAGGAAUCUGUGCUUUCUAAACUGUAACUUUCUUUGAUUCUAACUUUUGUCAGAGUUAAACGCUGAAUGGUCAACCCAGGAAUUACCAUGUGUUUUUAAGUAGCAGCGCAAGGUUCUUGAUUCCCACUUCUGUUUCUCCUGGCCCCCCCUUCCUCACACCCCCUGGCACGGUGGCAGCACUGUGUUUGCCCACCUCCCUUCGGUCUCUCCCGUACAGCCCUCUCACCCCCUCCCAUUUCCCCUUCGCAUUUCAUACUGACAGACACACUCGUGAGGGGUCCCACUCCUGUCCACGCCGUCCAGCCCGCCUAUGCUCAUCCUCGAAGGGAGGCACUUGCUUCUCUAUGCGUCACACGUGUCACUGCUCCAACAUCCCCACUUGUCAGUUUAGUGUCCAGAGGUGUUUUACAUUCUCCCGCCCACUCCGGUCCAGAAGCUGAUGUUAAGCUUCCUUUUAAAAAAGAAAAAGAAAAAAAAAAAGACUAUUAUUUCAUUAAGGUCGAUACUUGGGAGAAGGUUUGAGGAGAGGUGUCUUCACACGCGCACGGUCUGGACUGGGGGAUUCUGAAAGCGAGACGGCGGAGUCACCCAUCAAGCUUCCAACCUUUUGCUUAGACGAGGGCUCUGAAAACCUUCCAAGGCGACCCGCGGCUGGGGCCUCGGAGUGGCUUUGAGAUGGGGAUUUCAGAAAUGGGAGGGGGCCCUGGGGCGGAGAGCUUUAGCAGGGAACUAGGGGUACAUGGGAGUCCCUUGAACUGGGGCAUGAUGGGGAAUUCAGAA